GACAAUGAUGUAAGAAUAGUAAUUGCUCAUUUUGAUCAGAGUUUAGCCGCUAAAGUCUUCUGCUAUAUAUAAUGUCAAGAUGUAUGGGCAGAAAUAUCAGUGGAUUCUGCCAGAGUGGGUCCAGUCGAGCAGGUGGACUGACAUUGACUCCACCAACUGCACAUCUGAAAACAUACUGACUGCAAUAGAGGGAUCCAUCAGUGCAGAUAUUGAGUCUCUCAGCUCCAGUCACAUCCGAGGAAUCUCUGACACCCCAAGAGUACGAGAAAGAGUACAAUGAAAGGCGACAGAUGAAGCAACUGGGGGGAAGCAAGUUUCACGGCUUUGCUUAUGAUGGUACAUGGGUUAUUGCCAAGGCGUUAACGAGAGUCAUGGAGACUGUGAAGUACAGAGAGAGAUACAGCGUCCAUCGCAACUUCACUCUCACUGACCAAGAAGUGGGUCAGAUGAUUCUAGAGGCCAUGGACAAGAUCAACUUCUUCGGUGUGACAGGACACGUUAUGUUUCAAAAAGGCGAAAGAGUGGCCAAUGUGAAGUUUGCCCAGUAUCAAGAUGGAAAGGCUGUUGAUAUUGAAAAAUACAGUGCCAUUACAGACGAACUAGAGUUCAUUAGUCCAAUCAGAUUUCACAAGGAUAAACCCACAAAGGACC
ensembl:processed_transcript